GACAGAGGGUGCAAACGUUGUUCGGAAUUACUGGGCGUAAAGCGCGUGUAGGCGGCUGAGCAAGUCGGGUGUGAAAGCCCUUGGCUCAACCAAGGAAGUGCAUCCGAAACUGCUUAGCUUGAGUCCCGGAGAGGAUGGUGGAAUUCUCGGUGUAGAGGUGAAAUUCGUAGAUAUCGAGAGGAACACCAGUGGCGAAGGCGGCCAUCUGGACGGUGACUGACGCUGAGACGCGAAAGCAUGGGGAG
rnacentral:rRNA from 1 species